GGUGAUGGAGUUCAUGCCCAAUGGUAGCCUUGAGGCUUUGUUGCACUCUAAUUCCUAUUUCUUGGAUAUGCUACAGAGGUUAAAAAGCUUGGUAGAUGUUGCACUUUCUUCGGAAUAUCUUCACUACAAUUUUGUUUUGAUUUUCAUGAUUUCUCUACAUUUUUUAUGUUAUAUGCAGGGUCUGGAUUACAGGGAAUAGUGUCUUAUGGAAACAUGUUGAUGGAAACAUUUACAAG
rnacentral:misc_RNA from 1 species